AGGAUCUUCUAUCCAGAAACAUUCAUGAUGGGAAGAGAAGCCUUGCUCCCCUGCUCUCCCAUUCCCCCUCUCCUGUUCUUUUAUCUCUUUCACAUAAGCUAUUAAUUAUGCAGGCUCAAUCCUGCCUAAGUUUUCCAAAUCUCUCUCAGGACAGUCUUGCAGGAAGGAGCUUGAGGAGGACAACUGCCUUAUCUCAUGUUAAUCUCUGCUGCUCUGAGACAAUGUUCUGUCGUUUUUGUGGAGGAAAUUUGGAGAACUGAAAGUUUUCUGACCUACUUCUGCCAUCUUCCCAGAAUCCUCUCCAUACAAGUGAUUUAAGAAGGCAACAUAAUUCAACAAUAACACAGGUUGGAGUAGAGGCCUGCCAAGUGGGUAGGUCACCAACUGAGGCAGGCAUAGGACCAGGAGUGGUUCAUGCCAAGAGUGAAGCCUUCCUUAUCUGGAGUGGGACUCACAGCUCCUGAUCCCAGUCAGGAAUCCCUACCUUUUACCAGAACAGAGGCUGGGCAAUCCUAUGCAGGAAGCUAGCAGGAUGAUUUCAGAAAGGCCUGGAGAGACUUACAUGAGCUGAUGCUGAGUGAAGUAAAUAGAACCAAGAGAACAUUGUACAUAGCAACAACAAGAUUAGGUGAUGAUUACUUCUGAUGGAUAUGGCUCUUUUCAACAAGGAGGUGAUUCAGACCAAUUCCAACGGACUUGUGAUGGAGAGAGCCAUCUGCAACCAGAAAGAGGACUAUGGGGACUGAAUAUGAAUCACCUCCUUUUGUUGUUGUUUACUUGCUUUUUUUUUCUUUUUCACUUUUUUUCUCUUUUUGAUCUCUCUUGUACAGCAUGAUAAAUAUGGAAAUAUGUUUAGAAGAAUUGCACAUAUUUAACAUAUAUUUGCUGUCCAGGGGAAGGGGGUGAGGGAAAGGGAGGGAGAAAAUUGGGAACAUAAGGUUUUGCAAGCAUUAAUGUUGAAAAC
rnacentral:lncRNA from 1 species